rfam:Macrophomina phaseolina MS6 contig00570, whole genome shotgun sequence.
GCGUUGGUGGUUUAGUGGUAAAAUUCAUCGUUGCCAAGACAAGUUGAUAUAUCUGGACGGCUCCUCUUAGGAACCAUCUCGAGCGUUAACUAUAGUUUCGAUGAGCCCCGGGUUCGAUUCCCGGCCGACGCA